AUCCCCGGCGCCCAGGGGCCGGGGCCGCGGCCGCGCCGAGCUGGGGCUGGGCCAGCGCGGACCGGGACCGGCCGGCAGGCGCCGGGGAGAGGCAGGUGUCCCGCGGCCGGCCGGCCGGCCGGCCGAAAAUCGUCCGAACCGCUGCGGGGGCGGCGAAGGCGGCCGUUCGUCCCGCUCCAUGCGGUGGUGCUCAGGACCCGCGCUGAGUUCGCUGCUCCGCCAUGACCCGCGCCCUCGUCGUCGGAAUCGUCCGCCGGGGAGGUGGGGGCUGUCAGGGGCCGGCGGGCUGCCGGCCGCGGCGCUCUCUGGGCCCCGAGCCGUCCGGCUCCGCGCCCCUCAGCGCCGCGCCCCCUCAGCACUGGCCAGCUCCCUCCCCUGACGUCACGCGCCGUUGCCACGCACAGUCCUGCGAGGCAUUCUGGGAAAUGGAGUCCGCCUAGCGAGGCUGGCCACGCGGGACUCUACCAUCUGAAGGGGUGAGAGCAAAAAUCAGAGCUCUGAACGGGAAUGUCAAGGCCCGUCGUCCUCAAAAACCCUGAUAAAACUUCUGAAAGUUGCUGAAUAAGUAGCUACGUCAUGGGCUCUUUUUAUUGCAAUUUUUCCCCGUGGUUAAAUAGCCCCAAGACUCUUCAGAUUCCCCCGCCCCAAUAAUGAGUCUUUCCAAGGAGGCGGAUCGCUAAGGAGCCGGCUGAGCACGUGCAACGAAGCCCAGCCCUGUGGGCGGGGUCGAGGGGCGGGGCUUGGAGGUAUUCUCCAGGGCCUUCCUCCGCGGCCGCGGGACAAAUUGGACCGGAGAUUAAAGGACGGGAGUUUAACUCGAGGCAGAGUGGACAGUGAGAGAGAGAGACAGAGAGAAAGGUCUUCCUUUUGCCGUUGGUUCACCCUCCAGCGGCCGGCGCGCUGCGGCCGGCGCACCGCGCUGAUCCGAUGGCAGGAGCCAGGAGCCAGGCGCUUAUCCUGGUCUCCCAUGGGUGCAGGGCCCAAGCACCUGGGCCAUCCUCCACUGCACUCCCUGGCCACAGCAGAGAGCUGGCCUGGAAGAGGGGCAACCGGGACAGAAUCCGGCGCCCCGACCGGGACUAGAACCGGGUGUGCCGGCGCCACUAGGCGGAGGAUUAGCCUAGUGAGCCGCAGCGCCGGCCUUCCAUCUUGAUUUUAAAAAUGAAUAAAAGCAUCUGGUUUUUCUGUUAA